GAUGAACGCUGGCGGCGUGCUUAACACAUGCAAGUCGAGCGAAGCGAUUUUAAGGAAGCCUUCGGGUGGAAAUAAAAUUGACUUAGCGGCGGACGGGUGAGUAACGCGUGGGUAACCUGCCUCAUACAGGGGGAUAACAGUUAGAAAUGACUGCUAAUACCGCAUAAGCGCACAGUGCUGCAUAGCACAGUGUGAAAAACUCCGGUGGUAUGAGAUGGACCCGCGUCUGAUUAGGUAGUUGGUGAGGUAACGGCCCACCAAGCCGACGAUCAGUAGCCGACCUGAGAGGGUGACCGGCCACAUUGGGACUGAGACACGGCACAAACUCCUACGGGAGGCAGCAGUGGGGAAUAUUGGACAAUGGGGGAAACCCUGAUCCAGCGACGCCGCGUGACUGAAGAAGUAUUUCGGUAUGUAAAGGUCUAUCAGCAGGGAAGAAAAUGACGGUACCUGACUAAGAAGCCCCGGCUAACUACGUGCCAGCCGCCGCGGUAAUAC
rnacentral:rRNA from 1 species